ACAAACGCUGGCGGCGUGCCUAAUACAUGCAAGUCGAACGAGGUAGCAAUACCAAGUGGCGCACGGGUGAGUAACACGUAGAUAAUCUGCCUUGGAGUGGGGAACAACUCAGCGAAAGCUGAGCUAACACCGCAUGAGACCACAACGCCUGAGGGCGAAGGGGUGAAAAAUUUAUUGCUCCAAGAUGAGUCUGCGUCAGAUUAGCUAGUUGGUGAGGUAAUGGCUCACCAAGGCUACGAUCUGUAGCUGGUCUGAGAGGAUGAUCAGCCACACUGGAACUGAGACACGGUCCAGACUCCUACGGGAGGCAGCAGUAGGGAAUAUUGCGCAAUGGGGGAAACCCUGACGCAGCAACGCCGCGUGAGUGAUGAAGGCUUUCGGGUCGUAAAGCUCUGUUGCAAGGGAAAAAGAAAGUGAUUGUACCUUGCGAGAAAGGACCGGCAAACUUCGU
rnacentral:rRNA from 1 species